GGCACACUGGACUUUUAUUCAAAUUUCCCAACAAGGGUGACACCCAUGUGGACCUUGGUGGGCACAGGGACACAAAGUGAAAAAAAAAACCCAAUAAAAACCAGAGUCAUACAGUGAGACACUCCCAUACACAAACAAUAGAAUCCCUCCUCUGUAUCAGGAACUGUCCUAAUCUAACCCAAUUAUCUCCAAGCACAGAAAAACAUGAAACCCCAUAAAAGUUACAUCCCCUGAUAUCCAAAAAUCACCCAGAUCGGUUCAGGAAUUUGUGGAAGUCAGUUUUGACCAACCGUGCACAUGGUCCUAUGCCCAAGACUGUUCCAGGGAAAUCAGUGCUAAG